UGCGCGGGCAAGACGGCCGCCGGUUCCCGCUUGUCGGGGACGGGAGGUAAAGUCCGAACACGGCAGGACACGGUGGUGGGUAACGCCCACCGAUCCCGAGCGAUCGGGACCAGGGAAAGUGCCACAGAAAAUACACCGCCGAUGGGCUUCGGCCACAGGCAAGGGUGAAAAGGUGCGGUAAGAGCGCACCGCCGACCUGGUGACAGGCCGGGCAUGGCAAACCCCACCGCGUGCAAGGCCAAGCAGCGGCAAUGAGCUGGUCCGGCUCGCCAAGCCGCGGGUAGGCUGCUGGACCCCGUCGGCAACGGCGGGGCUAGAUAAAUGGCCGUCACCCCGCUUGCGGGGCACAGAAUUCGGCUUAUGAACCGGCGCACCAU
rnacentral:RNase_P_RNA from 1 species